UACGUCGGCAGCAGGAGUGAAGCAGGAGGAAGACAGGGACUUUCCUUCGUUUUCUGAGAGCCUGCCUGCCUUGACGGCAUGCGUGAGUGCAGAACCAGCAGUGAAACGGCAGGUGUCCGCAGAUGCGAGAGAGAAGCGUGCAGGACACGAGGCUGCUGCCACACGAACAGAUACAGAUUUCCAGUACGACGGACAGUUGCAGGAGUCGGAAGAACAGCGUGUUCAGUCCGAGCGUUGUGCUCAGGACUUGAAGACGGCCCUGGAAAAGAAACAAAGAGAAGUGGUAGCUGUUUCCCAGCAACUGCAAGACCUUCUGGAAGCCUCCUCAGGAACUGUUAGCCUAAAACCUCUGGAAGAACGAGUG